AACGAACGCUGGCGGCAGGCCUAACACAUGCAAGUCGAGCGAGGACUUCGGUCCUAGCGGCGGACGGGUGAGUAACGCGUGGGAACGUGCCCUUUGCUUCGGAAUAGCCCUGGGAAACUGGGAGUAAUACCGGAUGAGCCCUUUGGGGGAAAGAUCUAUCGGCGAAGGAUCGGCCCGCGUUGGAUUAGGUAGUUGGUGGGGUAAUGGCCUACCAAGCCGACGAUCCAUAGCUGGUUUGAGAGGAUGAUCAGCCACACUGGGACUGAGACACGGCCCAGACUCCUACGGGAGGCAGCAGUGGGGAAUCUUAGACAACGGGGGAAACCCUGAUCUAGCCAUGCCGCGUGAGCGAUGAAGGCCUUAGGGUUGUAAAGCUCUUUCAGCUGGGAAGAUAAUGACGGUACCAGCAGAAGAAGCCCCGGCUAACUCCGUG
rnacentral:rRNA from 1 species